rnacentral:tRNA from 1 species
GAGAUUGUAAUUUAAUGGGUAGAAUUUUACUUUGUCGAAGUAAAUGUUGCGGGUUCAAAUCCCGUCAAUCUCG